rnacentral:lncRNA from 1 species
UUGAAUUCACAACUUAUAAAUCACAACUGAAGGUAAUCAAUUCAUAUUACAAAUAUAUUCAUGGUUUCGAAUUAACCUCUAACCAAAAUAAAUUUAAUUACACAUUAUUAAAACAGAAAUAAAAUAGGAGUUUGGAAAGAUUAAACCGAAAGAAAGGAUCUGCUGCGUGGACUCUGAACUGCAUGGACUCUGAACUGCAUUUUCAUGCUGACCUCCU